rnacentral:rRNA from 1 species
AUGAAGCGGGAACAGCUCAAAUUUGAAAUCUCCGUCGCCUGCGACGGCGAAUUGUAGUUUCGAGAAGCACUUUCUAGGCGGACCCGGGGCCGUCCAAGUUGCUUGGAACAGCACGUCAUAGAGGGUGACAACCCCGUCUGUGGCGGAACCGGCCGCUGACGAUGCGCUUUCGACGAGUCGGGUUGUUUGGGAAUGCAGCCCAAAAUGGGUGGUAAACUCCAUCUAAAGCUAAAUACUGGCACGAGACCGAUAGCGAACAAGUACCGUGAGGGAAAGAUGAAAAGCACUUUGAAAAGAGAGUUAAAAAGUACGUGAAACCGUUAAAAGGGAAACGAAUGGGGUUAGCAAUGCGCUCCGCGAGAUUCAGCCGGUGGCUGGACCUGGCCGGGCGGUCUGCGGAUCUGAAUGGACCGCGGCCGUUCGGGUCGGCCCUUCAACCGUCGCACUUCUCGCGAGCGCGCGUCAGCGUCGGUUGGGACUGGGUCUCAAAGGCGCCGGGAAGGUAGGUCCCUCCUUUCGGGGUGGGACUGUUAUAGCCCGGCGUUUUCAUGGCCCGGACCUGACCGUGGUGCCGCGGCGCGUGCCUCUUCUGGCUGGGGUCCCGUCGUUCCGGUCGGUCGUCGACUGCGGUGGACUGCGUGCAGUGCGCCGCGACUGCUGCCGGUCGCUUCGGUGGUGACCUCACACAACGCGCCCAGGACGCUGGCGGUCAUAUGGCCUCAUCCGACCCGUCUUGAAACACGGACCAAGGAGUCUAACAUGUGCGCGAGUCUUCGAGUGAUCGAAACUCCCAGGCGGAAUGAAAGUGAAGGCGGCCUCGGCCGCUGAGGUGAGAACCCCCUGUCGCGGGGGGCGCAUCAUCGACCGACCUAUUCUACUCUUAGGAAGGUUUGAGUAAGAGCGCAUCUGUUGGGACCCGAAAGAUGGUGAACUAUGCCUGAAUAGGGUGAAGCCAGAGGAAACUCUGGUGGAGGCUCGUAGCGAUUCUGACGUGCAAAUCGAUCGUCAAAUUUGGGUAUAGGGGCGA